rnacentral:tRNA from 1 species
GCCCCCGUAGCUCAGUGGAUAGAGCGCCGGUUUCCGGUACCGAAGGUCGCAGGUUCGACUCCUGUCGGGGGCACGA